GCUAAAUGAUGAUGGUGAUAAAGUUGGC
rnacentral:piRNA from 1 species